rnacentral:rRNA from 1 species
GGCCAGACUCCUACGGGAGGCAGCAGUGAGGAAUAUUGGUCAAUGGUCGGGAGACUGAACCAGCCAAGCCGCGUGAGGGAUGAAGGUACAGAGUAUCGUAAACCUCUUUUGUCAGGGAACAAAGGCGGGGACGUGUCCCCGGAUGAGUGUACCUGAAGAAAAAGCAUCGGCUAACUCCGUGCCAGCAGCCGCGGUAAUACGGAGGAUGCGAGCGUUAUCCGGAUUUAUUGGGUUUAAAGGGUGCGCAGGCGGUCUGUUAAGUCAGCGGUGAAAUGCCCCCGCUCAACGGGGUGAAGUGCCAUUGAUACUGCCUUGCUGGAAUGCGGAUGCCGUGGGAGGAAUGUGUGGUGUAGCGGUGAAAUGCAUAGAUAUCACACAGAACACCGAUUGCGAAGGCAUCUCACGAAUCCGCGAUUGACGCUGAGGCACGAAAGCGUGGGUAUCGAACAGGAUUAGAUACCCCAGUA